GAAAUGCCCCGUCAGGGGUAGACGCCGUCGGACCCUUCGGUUCGUACGGUCAAUCCGUCCACCCGAUGUGAAACUUAUACCUUUGCUUCGGCAGCACCUUGCGGGCAACCGCCAGGGUAAGGCUGCCAGAGGCCCACAAUUAAACUAGUUGAUGAAAUGUCAUGCUGUCUGAUACUUUUACAAUUUGAGAAAUCAAAUGGUAUUA
rnacentral:misc_RNA from 1 species